rnacentral:lncRNA from 1 species
CGGGGACAUGCUCCUGUGUGAUAUUCUGCGCCAGACAUUAUGAUAGGCAUACUUUAAGGGUUUCGUAUUCAUUAUCACAUUUAAUCCUCAAAAUGUCUCGUUACGGUCUCAAAACUUGAGGUUGGUACAAGAAUCAGCUUCAUUUUAUAGAUAAAGAGACUCGGGCAUAAGGUGAUGAGGUCGUGCCGCUGGCAGAGCUGGGAUCUGAACCCUGGUCAUCUGCCUCCCUCCUGGCAAAGAUGGGUAUGGGCUGGGGAGGGGGGACGUCCUCCUCGGUUGGUUGUCUCCUUUCUGCCUUUGACAGCUCCGUGAAGGUCUGCCUCGGCUCUCCUUCAUUCUGAAAAGCAAGACAGGAGGCCCCGCGGACGGCUGCGAUUCCCCGCUAAGGUUCUCCUAGCACAGGCUCAUUCUCGGCUCUUUCCCGGUUCCCAUACCUCCAUCGCCGCCGCCCCCCGGAGCAGGGCCGGGCAUGCAGCGAGCGCCGGGUGAAGCGGUGCUGACGGAUGCCUGAAGCGGCCCCUCCUGGGCUCCAGGCUGGGGCGGGGAGAGGAGGGCCAGAGCCGCCUCCCCGGGAGGCCCAGGCCGGUGCUAGGGCCGGAGGGAGAGGGGUGAAGACCCGCACUGAUUAACCGCCUCCUGCAUGCUGGGCUCAAGGGCGAGGCGGCCUGGGCUUGGCGGUGGGGCUCUGGGUGGCCCCCUAAGGGCCAGUCUUCCGGCACAGGGGACCCCCAGAGUUUCGCCUGAGCCCCCCGGGGAGCUGUCUGGACGGAGCCUCUCCGGGGUGGGCAGUGUUACCAUUCUCACUUUGCAGCUGGGGAAGCUGAAGUUCAAGGGCUGAAAAAAAACGUGUCCAAGAAAAUGGUGGAGCUAACAGUUAAACUCUGAUCUCAGAUGAAAACUUUCACUUUUUGGGGCUUUCUUCAGGAUUUGUUGUUGUUGUUUGUUUAAUAUAUUCGAUUUCUUUUUGGAUGAGGAACACCUGUAUGUGAAAUAGGAAGGUUUUAAGUAUGUAGUCACCUUGAUCCAGCGUCCUGGUUCCUUAAUUAAAGGCGGUCUCUGUUAUUCGUGUUUUCUGUAUCUUUGGG